rnacentral:lncRNA from 1 species
AUCGUAUUGAUAUACCUGUCCUUUGCUGGGGAGGGUAGCCACCCCUGACUGAAGAGUGCCUGAAACCGCGGGACCAUUCUGGUCCAUAUAACAGUAUUUUAAAACUAACUUCCCUCUGUGGGACAGUAGUAACAUGCCUUUUCUUGCCUUUAUGCUUUCCUAAGUUAAUAUAGGUCCUCUCAACACGAGGUGUCACAGUAAACACAAGCAAGAGGCACUUAUGAUCGUUUCUGAGUCAUAUAGAAAUUAUCUGAGGUGCAUGAACGUUACCCGGAAGUCCAUGAUUCCAAUAAAUUGGGAGAAUAUGCCACUUAGCGCCUCAGAAGGUCUCUGGGAUUUACACUGGCAGGAGCAGGCUAUACCUGAGCGUCAGCGCCUGGAUGUCCAGAGCAUUCAACAUCCACAUUUGAAGCUAACGUGAAGUUGAUUCAGAGUAACACUGAGCAAGCUGUAGUGUUUUCUAUAGGAAAUGUCAGGCACCCGAUAACCGUUCCUAGAUUGCCCUUGGAUCGGGCUGGUUUCCUAAGCCUAAGGAGACUGUUUUUGUUUCUGAGGUCCUGCCGCUCUGACUCCAGUGUUCCGAAACAAAGUUGGAGACUCGUGAAAUAAGACACUAAAACCCCAAAUUUGAAAUUGUGAAAAGUUUAGGCCAAAGAGAUAAAAUAAAAACAGCUGUUGGGAAUGAAAAAAUGGCUGUAAGAAUUUAGUUACAAGUACUUCACAAAAACAUUUCAUCACAUGUAGAUAACGCAGCAGUACAAUAGAAAGCCAUCUCCUGUCCUGAGCAAGCAAGCCCUCUCACCAUCUAACAAAAAUAAUUUAGAUGCAUUUCUUUGCAUGGAAUUGUCAUAUAUGUUUACACUUUGGUACAAAACAUAGAAAAAAAAAACAUUGGCACAUUACGUAGCGAUAAGUUGUCUCUUUCUUCCCCAUGUACCAAUUUCCACAUACUCCAAGGUCCAAUGUUCACUUGGAAAAAAAAAUGUAGCUACUGAUUCUAUCAGUUCAGUUUCUAUACAUCUUUAAAAUGCAUCGUGGAGUACAGAUAAAAUAAAAGUAAGGUAUUUUGUUUACUUGGUUUCUGAUGUUCGUAACACAUAGAGGCGGGACGGCUGACAAGAGAGAGGGGAGAUCUGUCUGACCGUAUGCAGAGCACAGAGCCUUGUGAAAAGUUGUAUAAAAAUAUGCCCUUGUGCUUCAGGAAUGUCAGCGUACGGGCGGUAGCAUAAAAUAGUAUUUACUGCCUCUCCAUGCCUUUGUCCCGCCCGACAUAUUUACACUUCUUGCAGUCUCUUUUUACAUCAUUAAAGCAAAUGGCAUGAUCUCAAAUAUAAAUUAAGGAUAUCCGAACCUUGGAACUUCCCCAUUUCCUCCCCAGAUAUAGACAGACAGGUAAUGCCCAGCAAACUAGGGGUGAAGAUUCGGGACAUUUAGAUUAUUUUAAUAAAAAUCUUUGAACAGCAAAUAUAUAUAAAUUUAUCUUCUCUUAAUUUUUUUUUUUUAAAAAAAACCUUACCCACGAGCAUUCAGACUUAAUGGCUUUAUAGAUACUCUGACUUGUGGCUGUGUCCUUGAGCCUGAAGUAAGGGGUGCUCAAGGACUCCCCUAACUGAGAUCCUACUCCUUCCCUAUCAGCUGGCUUCCAAAAGGCGGGUUCCACGGAGGAAAGGGGGCUCCACGGGUGACGGGCACCCAUCCACGGGACACCCGGCAGGCCCAGGAUGUGUUCUGACUUGGAUAUCACACUGUCUCCCAUGUAGCCAUGGGAACCACAGUGCUAACUAAUUAGUUUACUGACCAUCUCAUUCUCAUUCUGCUCAUUUUAAUGAGCUCCUUCCUCACAUCCAUUUGCUCAGAGAAGAUGUUUAGGAAUCCUUCAUCCUUUUGCCACUGAGGAAAGCCUCCGUCGUUAGUUUUCUGGUAACAGUUGAGCUGAACUCUGGCUAAGCUACCUGACCUCCGUCAGGAGGAUGGACACACAACAGGCCUUUGCUUCUCGUGUCCUGCUUGUACCGUCAGUAAGUCAGUCAGCUCCGGCUUUACAAGGGCACGCAGGCUAACAGCUUGGCAGAAGAAGCUGCCAGGCAGCUCGUUUUGUCACUGAGUGAUUCAAAGGAACAUAUUUUUAUUGAUGGAAUAUAACUUUCUGGAAAUGAAGUUUGGGGGCGUGCAUGAUUCAGGUCGGAAAUUAAACACCAUCCCCUUAGUGUCCGCCUGUCAUUUCCAUUUUAAAGGAAACCCUCUUGCUUGUUCUACCCUGUGAUUCACAGUGUCCCCUUCUCGGGCGUGGCUUCAGCUGUCAGAUGGAAGUCUCAGAGUUUUGCACUUGAGGUCAUCCAGUGUCUUCCAGUGUUUAUAGUUAUCGGCCAGGUGCUGCAUCAGGGCAGGCAGGUGAGCGAAGGCUGCAAGCAGAAGAGACCAUUGAAUUCACAAGGAGUUAUUAGGCUUGGUUUUGGGGAUCAGCAGUCAAGAAGAGAGUCAGUGACUGGCUUGCCGUGCGAUUGUGAGGACCCAAGUUCAAUUCCCAGACCAGGUGCAAAACCUAGCCAUGGUGGCAUGCGCUUGUAAUCUCAGCUCUAGGGGACAGAGAGUAGUGUAUGACUGCAGGAUGACUCUGGCAUCUGUGUGCAUGUGUAUCCCC